UUUUUUAACGGCCGCACUCACUCUGACCGUGCGUGGUNAAUAAUUUUUUGCCUUAUGUUGAAUGCUAUGANNGNNGGUUUGACUUGAACGUAACUGUCUCUUUUCAAUUUANUAGAAUUUUAUCUUGGGGNGAAAAAGCCUUGAUUCAAUUAUAAGACAAGAAGACCCUAUCGAGCUUUAAAGAAGUUGAUGGAUUAGAUUUUUAGUUUUAAAAAGCGUUACCAUCAUAAUAUUUUGGUUGGGGCGACUGAGGAACAUGUGAAGCUUCCUUUACGUGCGUGAUGAUCCAUGAUUAAAGGAAUUAGUUACCGUAGGGAUAACAGCAUUAUCCUUUUUGAUAUUUCUAAUCGAAAAAAGGGUUUGUGACCUCGAUGUUGGACCAGAAUAUCCUAAAGAUGCANAAGUCUUUAAGGGUUGGUCUGUUCGACCAUUAAAAUUCUA
rnacentral:rRNA from 1 species